rnacentral:rRNA from 1 species
UACGUAGGGUGCGAGCGUUGUCCGGAAUUACUGGGCGUAAAGAGCUCGUAGGUGGUUUGUCGCGUUGUUCGUGAAAACUCACAGCUUAACUGUGGGCGUGCGGGCGAUACGGGCAGACGUAGAGUGCUGUAGGGGAGACUGGAAUUCCUGGUGUAGCGGUGGAAUGCGCAGAUAUCAGGAGGACACCGAUGGCGAAGGCAGGUCGUCUGGGACAGUUACUGACGCUGAGGAGCGAAAGCAUGGGGAGCGAACAGG